rnacentral:rRNA from 1 species
CAGCAGCCGCGAUAACACGAAGGGUGCAAGCGUUAAUCGGAAUUACUGGGCGUAAAGCGUGCGUAGGCGGUGAGUUAAGUCUGCUGUGAAAUCCCCGGGCUCAACCUGGGAAUGGCAGUGGAUACUGGCUCGCUAGAGUGUGUCAGAGGAUGGUGGAAUUCCCGGUGUAGCGGUGAAAUGCGUAGAGAUCGGGAGGAACAUCUGUGGCGAAGGCGACUAUCUGGGCCAACACUGACACUGAGGCACGAAAGCGCGGGGAGCAAACAGGAUUAGAUACCCCAGUAGUCCCUGUCUCUUAUCC